GGGGCCGACCUGGUUUCGACGGGGGUAUUGAAGCGGCUCAGGGCGGGUCGAGGACCCGUACCCUCGUAAAUCCAUCGGGAAACUAUAAACGCAAACGACGAGCGUUUCGCUCUAGCCGCUUAAGGCUAGUAAGCCGCUGCACCGGGUUGUCGGUAGCCCGGGUCUCGCAAGAGACAGCAGCGUCAUUUUUACCGAAUCGUGCCUUGCCGGGCUACUUGGCGAGGAGCUAAAAAAUAGGUAGCUGGUUGUCGGUUGAGCCUGUGCGUCGGCGUAACGGCAACGAGAAUACAAAGGCGUCACUACACACGUAGAACUGACCGUAGAAGACUUCCGGACGCGGGUUCGAUUCCCGCCGGCUCCACCA
rnacentral:tmRNA from 1 species